CUGGGUUUUUGGACGCUAUGCGUCCGCCACCCGCCCUCUGUUAUCUAGUGACUCUUUUUUGUUUCGGCCCCCUCUUUCGGGGGGUGGGCCGGCAGCAACUCUUGAGGCAAUUUUGAGGUCUGAUACCAAAAAACAAAAUCAAAAA
rnacentral:misc_RNA from 1 species